UACGUAGGGUGCGAGCGUUAAUCGGAAUUACUGGGCGUAAAGCGUGCGCAGGCGGUCUGUUAAGACCGUUGUGAAAUCCCCGGGCUUAACCUGGGAACUGCAUUGGUGACUGGCAGGCUUUGAGUGUGGCAGAGGGAGGUAGAAUUCCACGUGUAGCAGUGAAAUGCGUAGAGAUGUGGAGGAAUACCGAUGGCGAAGGCAGCCUCCUGGGCCAACACUGACGCUCAUGCACGAAAGCGUGGGGAGCAAACAGG
rnacentral:rRNA from 1 species